rnacentral:rRNA from 1 species
AUGGGACACUUUGGCGUGAAGAAGACGGAGGACGUACUUGCUACACAUUUCUUUUGGCCAAAGAUGAGAUGGGAUGUUGAGCGUUUUAUUGCUCGCUGCACUACAUGUCAAAAAGCUAAGUCACGACUCAAUCCUCAUGGUUUAUAUAUGCCUUUGCCUGUACCUAGUGUUCCUUGGGAGGAUAUAUCUAUGGACUUUGUUUUAGGUUUACCUCGAACAAAGAAGGGGAGGGAUAGCAUAUUUGUUGUCGUGGAUAGAUUCUCGAAAAUGGCACACUUUAUACCAUGUCAUAAAAGCGAUGAUGCUGUUAAUGUUGCUGAUUUGUUCUUUCGUGAAAUUAUUCGCUUGCAUGGUGUGCCAAAUACUAUUGUUUCAGAUCGUGAUACUAAAUUUCUUAGCCACUUUUAG